AUAUUUUUUAUAUAAAUAGGUAAUGUGUGUAGUUCGAUAUGUUAUAUUAGUUUUGUUUUUGAUCAUCGAGGAACAAGACCUAUUCCAACAAACCAAUAUGAAAUUCAUCUGGAUGAUAACAGUAAUAGUGGCGGUGUUCUUCUGGCCUCUCGCAUCUGCUUCUACUACGAGUAAGAACUGUAUCUGUCCUGAACAGUACAGUCCCGUAUGUGCCACCAACGGCAAAACAUAUACCAAUAAAUGCUUCAUGAAAUGCGACGGCGCAAAAUAUUCCCGGAAUGGGCCUUGCUAGCCUAGUGCUGUUAUUAGUCGAUUAAAAAAAUUACUUAAAUUGUAA